GACCACUUGGGUUUCCUUACUUUGAAAGAGCUCAGAAGGAACCUUUACAACUGCUAAUGAAAGGCUGCAGAGAAGAGCUGAAAUUAAGUCAGCAGAGUUCACGAUUUGUCUUGGAGCAGAGCCUAAUUCAGUUUGUAAUGCUGGAGUCCCAGCAUCAGUGCAGGUUUGAUGUCUCAAAAGAGCCGCUUCAGAGAUGCACAUCACACAGAGAGAUGGACAACAGUGGCACCCAGCUGUCCCGCUGAGAAUGGGUGACUUCCACAGACUGGAAGAUGAACUUGGAACUCUCAGAAGUCAUUGGAUGAUGGAGCUGAAAGACGU